rnacentral:rRNA from 2 species
GUCUUUUUGAGUUAUUUUUAAAGUCUGACCUGCCCACUGAAUAUUUUUAAAUGGCCGCAGUAUUCUAACUGUGCAAAGGUAGCAUAAUCAUUAGUCUUUUAAUUGAAGGCUGGUAUGAACGGUUGGACGAAGUAUAAGCUGUUUCAUAUAAAAUUAUAUUAGAAUUUUAUAUUUUAGUUAAAAAGCUAAAAUAUUAUUAAAAGACGAGAAGACCCUAUAAAUCUUUAUAUUUAAUAUUAUUCAAAUUUUUUUGAUUAAUUUUAUUUUUAUAAUAUAAAAUAUUUUGUUGGGGUGAUAUUAAAAUUUAAUGAACUUUUAAUUUUGAAUUAAAACAUUAAUUUAUGAAUAGUUGAUCCAUUAUUAAUGAUUAUAAGAUUAAGUUACUUUAGGGAUAACAGCGUAAUUUUUUUUGAGAGUUCAUAUCGACAAAAAAGUUUGCGACCUCGAUGUUGGAUUAAGAUAUAUAUUUAGGUGUAGUCGUUUAAAUAUUAAGUCUGUUCGACUUUUAAAUUCUUACAUGAUCUGAGUUCAA